rnacentral:misc_RNA from 1 species
GCUCAAAACGUGAAAUGCCAUCUUUGUAUCCCCAUGCUAAAGGCAUAUUAUAUGCACUCAAGGACAAGAGAAUAGAUGUAGCAAUUGCUUCACGAUCACCAACCCCAGAUAUUGCAAAAGCAUUUCUUGGAAAAUUGAGCAUCAAAUCAAUGUUUGUAGCCCAGGAGAUAUUUUCCAGUUGGACUCACAAGACUGAACAUUUCCAGAGGAUUCAUUCAAGAACUGGGGUACCCUUUAAGUCAAUGCUCUUUUUUGAUGAUGAGGAUAGGAACAUCCAAGCGGUUUCAAAGAUGGGAAUAACGAG